UACAGAGGUCUCAAGCGUUGUUCGGAUUCAUUGGGCGUAAAGGGCGCGUAGGCUGCGGGGUAAGUCGGGUGUGAAAUCUCAGAGCUCAACUCUGAAACUGCACUCGAUACUGCUUUGCUUGAGGACUGGAGAGGAGAUUGGAAUUCCCAGUGUAGCGGUGAAAUGCGUAGAUAUUGGGAGGAACACCAGUGGCGAAGGCGGCUCACUGGACCGGUACUGACGCUGAUGCGCGAAAGCGUGGGGAGCAAACGGG
rnacentral:rRNA from 1 species